GGGAGAGUCCUAAUGUUGGUAAUUAGAGCUAUACUGUAGCUAUAGUGCACUACGCUUCGACUGUUCGAUUCAGUCCUCCCCCA